rnacentral:rRNA from 1 species
UGGGGAAUUUUGGACAAUGGGCGCAAGCCUGAUCCAGCAAUGCCGCGUGAGUGAAGAAGGCCUUCGGGUUGUAAAGCUCUUUUGUCAGGGAAGAAACGGGUUGGUUUAAUACACUGGCCUAAUGACGGUACCUGAAGAAUAAGCACCGGCUAACUACGUGCCAGCAGCCGCGGUAAUACGUAGGGUGCAAGCGUUAAUCGGAAUUACUGGGCGUAAAGCGUGCGCAGGCGGUUAUGUAAGACAGAUGUGAAAUGCCCGGGCUUAACCUGGGAACUGCAUUUGUGACUGCAUGGCUAGAGUGUGUCAGAGGGGGGUAGAAUUCCACGUGUAGCAGUGAAAUGCGUAGAUAUGUGGAGGAAUACCGAUGGCGAAGGCAGCCCCCUGGGAUAACACUGACGCUCAUGCACGAAAGCGUGGGGAGCAAACAG